rnacentral:lncRNA from 1 species
AUGUGCAUCAUUCAUUUGAUCCCCCCAACUCUGGGAGAUGGUAUAAUUCUAGUAAGCUCAUCUCUUAAUGACCGGGACCAAAGCCUUUUCCUGAGCACUGAUGAGGGGGCCACCUUUCAGAAACAACUCAUCACAUUCUUUGUUGAAACUCUGAUUUUCCAUCCCAAAGAAGAGGAUAAAGUGGUUGCCUACACUAAGGAGAGCAAGGUUUACUUAUCGACUGACUUAGGAAAGAAAUGGACCCUUCUUCAAGAACGAGUGACUAAGGACCAUGUUUUCUGGGCUGUAGCUGGAGUAGAUGGAGUAUCAGAUUUGGUUCAUAUGGAAACCCAGGAUCUCACUGGAGGUUUCCGGUAUGUCACCUGUCAGUCUCAGAAUUGCUCUGAUAGAACACCCACGAUUCCAUUUGCCAGCAGCAUUGACCACAAUUCCCUGACUGUGCAGGACGACUACAUAUUCUUUAAGGCGACCACAGCAAAUCGGACUAAAUACUAUGUAUCAUAUCGACGCAAUGAAUUUGUCCUGAUGAAACUACCAAAAUAUGCACUACCAAAGGACUUGCAGAUUAUCAGCACUGAUGAAAAUGAGGUAUUUGUGGCUGUCCAAGAAUGGUACCAAAUGGACACGUACAACCUUUACCAGUCAGACCCACAGGGCGUGUACUAUUCAAUUGUGCUUGAGAACGUUAGGAGCACGAAGCAACCAGAAGAAAACGUCCUGAUCGAUAUCCUGGAGGUCAGAGGUGUCAAAGGAGUCUUCCUGGCCAACCAAAAGAUUGAUGGAAAGGUCACAACACUGAUAACCUACAACAAAGGCCGUGACUGGGAUUAUCUGACGCCACCUGCCACUGACAUGAAUGGCAAACCCACCAACUGCAAACCUCCUGACUGCCAUCUUCACCUUCAUCUCCGAUGGGCAGACAAUCCAUACGUGUCAGGCACUGUCCAUACCAAGGACACAGCACCUGGUCUGAUCAUGGGAGCAGGUAACCUGGGCUCUCAGCUGGUGGAAUACAAAGAGGAAAUGUACAUCACAUCUGACUGUGGAAAUACUUGGCGUCAGGUCUUCGAAGAGGAACAUCACAUUCUGUACCUGGAUCAUGGUGGAGUGAUUGUGGCUAUCAAAGACACAUCCAUCCCUUUGAAAAUACUCAAGUUCAGCAUUGAUGAAGGUCACACCUGGAGCACACAUAAUUUCACAAGCACCUCAGUCUUCGUGGAUGGACUGCUAAGUGAGCCCGGGGAUGAGACUCUGGUCAUGACGGUCUUUGGUCACAUAAGUUUCCGUUCAGAUUGGGAACUGGUGAAGGUGGACUUCAGACCCUCUUUUCCCAGGCAGUGUACUGAGGAUGAUUAUGACUACUGGAACCUCACCAACUUACAGGGUAAUCGCUGUAUCAUGGGACAACAGAGGAGUUUCCGGAAAAGGAAGACCACAUCAUGGUGUAUCAAGGGGCAAAGCUUCACAUCAGUACUCACAUCUAGUGUGUGCAAAUGUUCAAGCUCAGAUUUUUUUUGUGAUUAUGGAUUUGAAAGAUCAGCAACUUCAAAAUCAGAAGCCAAAAAGUGUUUUGCGAAUUUCUGGUUUAAUCCUGACUCACCUCCUGAAGAUUGUGUGUUGGGGCAGGCAUAUACUAGCAGCCCAGGGUACCGGAAAGUGGUAUCUAAUGUCUGUGAAGGUGGUGUGGACCUGCAGCGGUACGUGCUUCAGCAUCAGUGCCCCCUGACAGCCCCCAGAGGGCUGCAAGUCAGCAUCAAAGGAGAGACUGUGGCCGUGAAGCCAGGAGAAGACAUCACGUUUGUGGUCAGACAGGAGCAGGGUGAUGUUCUAAAUACAAAGUACCUGGUGGAUCUUGGCGAUGGCUUUAAGGCUGUCUAUGUGAACCUCACUGUGACAGGGGAACCUAUCCGACACCGCUAUGAGAAUCCAGGAAUCUACCGGGUCUAUGUCAAAGCAGAAAAUGCUGCUGGGCAUGAGGAAGCUGUGCUGUUUGUUCAAGUGAAUUCUCCUCUACGGGCGCUACACCUGGAAGUAGUUCCUGUUAUUGGAGUAAACCAGGAAGUCAACCUCACUGCCAUUCUGCUGCCCAAGAACCCCAAUCUAACUGUCUUCUACUGGUGGAUAGGAAAUAACUUGCAGCCCCUUCUCUCUUUGGAUAAUUUUCUUGUCACGCGAUUUUCAGAAAUGGGUGAAGUCCGAGUAACAGUGCAAGCCUCCUGUGGGAAUUCCAUGCUCCAAGACUCCAAAGUCAUCAGGGUUUUAGAUCAAUUUCAAGUCCUGCCUCUGAAGUUUACUAAGCACUUGGAUAUAUACAAUCCCAACAUCCCUGAAUGGCGAGAAGACAUUGGCCUGGUCGUCACCCGCCUCCUUUCUGAGGAAACCAAUAUCCCUGAGGAAUCUCUGCUGACUGUGGUGAAACCAGGCCUGCCCACAACUGCUGACUUGCAUGUGCUCCUGCCAGCACCUAAACCAAAGAGGAAGAGGAGCAUACCAAGUGACAAGAGGAUCAUGGCCAUCAAACAAGCUUUGAAUGCCCACAAUAUCAGCUUUUUCCUAAGAGGAGGCUUCUGGGUACUUGUAACUCUACGUGACACAGAUUCAGAUUCUCAAAGGAUUGGAGGAGGAGGUGGCUAUUGGGCCCUCAUCGUUCUUUUCCUUAUCUGUCUUUUUGCAGUGGGAGCUUUCAUCCUCUACAAAUUUAAAAGGAAACUACCAGGCAGAACUGUUUAUGCCCAGAUGCACAAUGAAAAGGAACAGGAGAUGACCAGCCCAGUCAACCACAGCGAGGACACACAGAACAUCAUCCAGGGUGAGGAGUUUAUAGAUGAUGAUCUGGAUUCCCAAACCCUAGGUAAUCACUCAGGCGUGGUUCUGAGCAUCAACUCCCGAGAGAUGCACAGCUACCUGGUUAGCUGA